UACGAAGGGGGCUAGCGUUACUCGGAUUGACUGGGCGUAAAGGGCGCGUAGGCGGUACUUCAAGUCAGGCGUGAAAGCCCCGGGCUCAACCUGGGAACCGCGCUUGAGACUGGAGAACUAGAGUUCGGGAGAGGAUGGUGGAAUUCCCAGUGUAGAGGUGAAAUUCGUAGAUAUUGGGAAGAACACCGAUGGCGAAGGCAGCCAUCUGGACCGACACUGACGCUGAGGCGCGAAAGCGUGGGGAGCAAACAGG
rnacentral:rRNA from 1 species